GAUGAACGCUGGCGGCGUGCCUAAUACAUGCAAGUCGAGCGAACAGAUAAGGAGCUUGCUCCUUUGACGUUAGCGGCGGACGGGUGAGUAACACGUGGGUAACCUACCUAUAAGACUGGAAUAACUACGGGAAACCGGGGCUAAUGCCGGAUAACAUUUAGAACCGCAUGAUUCUAAAGUGAAAGAUGGUUUUGCUAUCACUUAUAGAUGGACCCGCGCCGUAUUAGCUAGUUGGUAAGGUAACGGCUUACCAAGGCAACGAUACGUAGCCGACCUGAGAGGGUGAUCGGCCACACUGGAACUGAGACACGGUCCAGACUCCUACGGGAGGCAGCAGUAGGGAAUCUUCCGCAAUGGGCGAAAGCCUGACGGAGCAACGCCGCGUGAGUGAUGAAGGUCUUCGGAUCGUAAAACCCUGUUAUUGGGGAAGAACAGAUGUGUAAUUAACUGUGCACGUCUUGACGGUACCUAAACAGAAAGCCACGGCUAACUACGUG
rnacentral:rRNA from 1 species